CCUACGGGGGGCUGCAGUGGGGAAUAUUGGACAAUGGGGGCAACCCUGAUCCAGCCAUGCCGCGUGUGUGAAGAAGGCCCUCGGGUUGUAAAGCACUUUCAGUGAGGAAGAACGCCUGGUGGUUAAUACCCAUCAGGAAAGACAUCACUCACAGAAGAAGCACCGGCUAACUCCGUGCCAGCAGCCGCGGUAAUACGGAGGGUGCGAGCGUUAAUCGGAAUUACUGGGCGUAAAGCGCGCGUAGGUGGCUUGAUAAGCCGGUUGUGAAAGCCCCGGGCUCAACCUGGGAACGGCAUCCGGAACUGUCAAGCUAGAGUGCAGGAGAGGAAGGUAGAAUUCCCGGUGUAGCGGUGAAAUGCGUAGAGUUCGGGAGGAAUACAAGUGGCGAAGGCGGCCUUCUGGACUGACACUGACACUGAGGUGCGAAAGCGUGGGUAGCAAACAGGAUUAGAUACCCCAGUAGUC
rnacentral:rRNA from 1 species